UGGGGAAUAUUGCACAAUGGGCGCAAGCCUGAUGCAGCAACGCCGCGUGAGGGAUGACGGCCUUCGGGUUGUAAACCUCUUUUAGCAGGGAAGAAGCGAAAGUGACGGUACCUGCAGAAAAAGCACCGGCUAACUACGUGCCAGCAGCCGCGGUAAUACGUAGGGUGCAAGCGUUGUCCGGAAUUAUUGGGCGUAAAGAGCUCGUAGGCGGUCUGUCGCGUCUGCUGUGAAAUCCCGAGGCUCAACCUCGGGCCUGCAGUGGGUACGGGCAGACUAGAGUGCGGUAGGGGAGAAUGGAACUCCUGGUGUAGCGGUGGAAUGCGCAGAUAUCAGGAAGAACACCGAUGGCGAAGGCAGUUCUCUGGGCCGUAACUGACGCUGAGGAGCGAAAGCGUGGGGAGCGAACAGGAUUAGAUACCCUGGUAGUCCACGCCGUAAACGUUGGGCGCUAGAUGUGGGGACCAUUCCACGGUUUCCGUGUCGCAGCUAACGCAUUAAGCGCCCCGCCUGGGGAGUACGGCCGCAAGGCUAAAACUUGAAAUGAAUUGACGGGGUCAUAGCUGUUUCCU
rnacentral:rRNA from 1 species